CUUCGUUUCCUCUCUCUCUCUCUCUCUCUCUCUCUCUCUCUCUCUCUCUCUCUCUCUCUCAUGACGUCAUAAUCAUUGGUUAUGGCAAAAUUUCAGGCAACCAAGCCUUGCCAUUGCCGAAUAUGGCAAAGCAAUUAAUGCUCCCUUCGUAAUACGCCCUUUUUUCACCAAAUGAAGCCCAAAUGCGCCUCGAUUCCUAUUGGCUUGUAAGGGUAUGAACUGGAUCGACGAAAAUUGGUCAAAAUCCAGCUGUAUAUCUGAUGUUUUGUCCAAAUCGUAGCUGUAGGAUAUAAACUCAGGCAUAAACUUUCAAGAUUUCGACAAAGUCCCUCAUCGAAAUUGUUAGGGUUUCUAUAAAUUUGGGGUUCUUAUAAAUAGGACCCCAUUUCGGAGAAAAAAGAGGAGGAAAACCAAAUUUUGAGCAUUCACACUCGAAAUUAGAGUUAUUAGCAAAAAGUUUUAGACUUAGCCUUGAAGUUGAGUCAUUAGUUUUUUUUUUUUUUUUUUUUUUUUUUUUGCUUUUGUUUCAUUGUGUGGUGGCUGAGGAGGGGAUUGGAAGCACAAAGGAACUUUCAAAUUCAUUCUUGACCAAGGCUGCACUGAAAAAGGUAACUCCUUAUCUUGUUUUUGCUUUGCUUUAGUUUUCUAUUAGUCUAGAUAUAUAUAUCAGUAUUGUUUCAGUGAUAAUAGGAGUCUGUUAAUAGUAAUUAUGUGUUUGUGCUUUGCCUGAUUGAUUGUUGAUCUCACAGUCUAAUUCUAGAAAUUUAUUAACCUGCCUUUGUAUGAAUGUGCCUAAAUGUGUUCUCAAACAUCCUGAUUGUUAUGAGACAGGGAAAUAUGAUAGCUAAGAGGUUUUAAGCAUGAUAUUAAGACUAAAAAUGAAGGAUUAAAGUCAAGACUCAUUUUGAUUUGUAAGAAUGUCUUAAAGUGUUUCAACAAUUGGUGGUUUAGAUAAAUUCUUAUUGUAAAAUGAACUUUUAUAUUUGAGCCUUUUUGUAAUUUGACACUCAAAUAUAUCUUUUAAAAAAAUUGGUCAAACAUAAUCUGCUUAUCAAAUACUCAAAAAGCAUUUCUCAAACGAAUUGACCAAAUACAAAUUAUUUCUCUCUAAUAUACUUUUCUAAAAAAUUAUUU